rnacentral:rRNA from 1 species
AAUUGGAGGGCAAGUCUGGUGCCAGCAGCCGCGGUAAUUCCAGCUCCAAUAGCGUAUAUUAAAGUUGUUGCAGUUAAAAAGCUCGUAGUUGAAUUUCGGGAUCAAUAUUUCGGUCAUGCCGUUGGUAUGCACUGUUAUCAUUGAUUUCUCACCUUCUAAAGAACCGUAAUGCCAUUAAUUUGGCGUUACGGGGAAUUAGGACUGUUACCUUGAAAAAAUUAGAGUGUUUAAAGCAGGCUCACGCUUGAAUACACUAGCAUGGAAUAAUGAAAUAGGACAUCCGAUUCUAUUUUGUUGGUUUCUAGGAUCGAUGUAAUGAUUAAUAGGGAUAGUUGGGGGCAUUAGUAUUCAAUUGUCAGAGGUGAAAUUCUUGGAUUUAUUGAAGACUAACUACUGCGAAAGCAUUUGCCAAGGAUGUUUUCAUUAAUCAAGAACGAAAGUUAGGGGAUCGAAGACGAUCAGAUACCGUCGUAGUCUUAACCAUAAACUAUGCCGACUAGGGAUCGGAUGAUGUUAAUUUUUUAAUGACUCAUUCGGCGCCUUACGGGAAACCAAAGUGU